rnacentral:lncRNA from 1 species
UGUGAAAGAACAUAAGACCAGUAAUGGCUGUUGGGUAGAUGAGAAGAUAUACCACUAAAACUUCAAGAAUGUCGAAUCAUAAACUUCAAAGUAUAGCCCCUCACCUCCAUCAGGACUAGCUAAACCUCAGAAGACUUCAUACUGAAAUUUGAAAAUGAAAUAACUGUCAAGUUUUAUGUUUGAUUCGUUGAAACUUUAAAAAGUAUUUUGUCGGUGCAAAAAAUUAUAUAGUUAAUUUCUAAAUUCUAGGACCAUAGGUGUACGGAGACAUUUUGCAGCUUAUAUAACUAAUGAAACUACUAGAAGUACUAAGCAUCUUUGACUUUUUGGAGUAUAACACAAUAAAAAGUGAACACCUAGAAACAGUUAAUACCAGAAGGAUUAAGUACUUUGGACAUAUGGGUACAUGCAUCUCAAAGCAACAUGCUUAGAAAGAUUAACCUGGAAGUUAUGAUACUAGAAGGUGUUCCUUUGAAAGGCAGAAGGUUCAGUGAAGGGACAUGAAAAAUCUUCUGUUGUGACUAAGGUUUUCUAGAUAAUGCCACUGGACACUGACGAACAUGUGAAAGUGAUUUUGGAUUCAUUGUCUUCAUCAGGACCUCAUUUGUAUAAGUUUUGGAUUUAUCCCACUCACUGGAGUUCUCAUGCUUGCUGUAAAAAAACAAAAUGGAGAUGGAAAAUUAGACAGUUGGUUGUUGACAUGAUAUAGUCAUUACCAGCUUUUUGAUUGCUGUACUUACUUCACAAAGUAUGUUCCAAGAGAAUUUCUUGAUAUUGAAUGUCUAAAACUUAAUUAUUAGUAUUGAUAACUCGUGUAAAUAAUUCAUUGUUAUAUGUACUAUUCAUAAGAAGGAUAUUAAAGUACAGCUAAACUCA